AGUGAACGCUGGCGGUAGGCCUAACACAUGCAAGUCGAACGGCAGCACAGUAAGAGCUUGCUCUUACGGGUGGCGAGUGGCGGACGGGUGAGGAAUACAUCGGAAUCUACUUUUUCGUGGGGGAUAACGUAGGGAAACUUACGCUAAUACCGCAUACGACCUUCGGGUGAAAGCAGGGGAUCUUCGGUCCUUGCGCGAUUGAAUGAGCCGAUGUCGGAUUAGCUAGUUGGCGGGGUAAAGGCCCACCAAGGCGACGAUCCGUAGCUGGUCUGAGAGGAUGAUCAGCCACACUGGAACUGAGACACGGUCCAGACUCCUACGGGAGGCAGCAGUGGGGAAUAUUGGACAAUGGGCGCAAGCCUGAUCCAGCCAUACCGCGUGGGUGAAGAAGGCCUUCGGGUUGUAAAGCCCUUUUGUUGGGAAAGAAAAGCAGCAGGUUAAUACCCCGCUGUUCUGACGGUACCCAAAGAAUAAGCACCGGCUAACUUCGUG
rnacentral:rRNA from 1 species